rnacentral:misc_RNA from 1 species
GAUGAAGAACGUAGCGAAAUGCGAUACUUGGUGUGAAUUGCAGAAUCCCGUGAACCAUCGAGUCUUUGAACGCAAGUUGCGCCCGAAGCCAUUAGGCCGAGGGCACGCCUGCCUGGGCGUCACACGUCGUUGCCCCCCCAUCUACUCCUUCGGGAUUGCGGGGGGCGGAUGAUGGCCUCCCGUGCGCCUCGUCGCGCGGUUGGCAUAAAUACCAAGUCCUCGGCGACGCACGCCACGACAAUCGGUGGUUGCGAAACCUCGGUUGCCCGUCGUGUGCGGUCGUCGCGCAUCGAGGGCUCGAAAAAAUUGCUGGGCUCCGGCUCGGCUUUCAACGCGACCCCAGGUCAGGCGGGGUUACCCGCUGAAUUUAAGCAUAUCAAUAAGCGGAGGA